AGCCAUGCGAGUUAACGUAGCAAUACGUGGCAUACGGCUCAGUAACACGUAGUCAACAUGCCCAGGGGACGUGGAUAACCUCGGGAAACUGAGGCUAAACCGCGACAGGCCAAGAUUUCUGGAACGGAUCAUGGCUUAAAUCUAUAUGGCCCCUGGAUUGGACUGCGGCCGAUCAGGCUGUUGGUGAGAUAAUGGCCCACCAAACCUGUAACCGGUACGGGCUCUGAGAGGAGGAGCCCGGAGAUGGGCACUUAGACAAGGGCCCAGGCCCUAUGGGGCGCAGCAGGCGCGAAACCUCUGCAAUAAGCGAAAGCUUGACAGGGUUACUCUGAGUGAUUUCCGCUAAGGAAGUCUUUUGGCACCUCUAAAAAUGGUGCAAAAUAAGGGGUGGGCAAGUCUGGUGUCAGCCGCCGCGGUAAUACCAGCACCCCGAGUGGUCGGGACGAUUAUUGGGCCUAAAGCAUCCGUAGCCGGUCCUGCAAGUCCUCCGUUAAAUCCACCCGCUCAACGGUUGGGCCGCGGGGGAUACUACAGGGCUAGGAGGCGGGAGAGGCAAGCGGUACUCGAUGGGUAGGGGUAAAAUCCACU
rnacentral:rRNA from 1 species